rnacentral:lncRNA from 10 species
GACUGGCCAACAUGGUGAAACCCCGUCUCUACUAAAAAUACAAAAAAAUUAGCUGGGUGUAGUGGCAGGCACCUGUAAUCCCAGCUACUCGGGAGGCUAAGGCAAGAGAAUCACUUGAACCCGGGAGGUGGAGGUUGCAGUAAGCUGAGAUCAUGCCACUGCACUCCAGCCAGGGUGACAGAGUGAUUCUGUCUCAAAAAAACAAAAACAAACAACAACAACAAAAUACAAAAAUUAGCCAGGAGUAGUGGCGGGCACCUGUAAUCUCAGCUAUUCAGGAGGCAGAAGCAGAAGAAUCGCUUGAACCCAGGAAGUGGAGGUUGCUGUGAGCUGAGAUUGCGCCACCGCACUCCAGCCUGGGCGACAGAGCGAGACUGCGUCUCAAAAACAAGAAUAAAUAAAUGAAGUCCAGGUUUAGAUUCCUGCUGUAACACUCAGGAGCACAUCCAGUUACUCAGUCUCUCCAGGCAUCAGUUUCCUUAUCUGUAAAAGGGGGAUAACAGUACCUACUCUAUUUGACUACUGUGAGGGUUAAAUUAGAUGAUGCAGGUAAAAUGCUUAUCCCUGUGCCUGACCCAUAAUACCUAAUCAAUAAUUGAAUGUUUCUCUUGUUUUCGUACCUACUAAACAAAAGAGAAAAUGCACUCUAGAGAAGUGAUUUGCCCCAAAACUCACACCAACUAAUGUGUAGCUGGGACUAAAAUUCAUGCUCAGAAAUUCUCAGCCCAAUGCUUUUCUUCAGCCCAUCUUCUACACCUUAGUUUUCUCAUUUUUAAGUGGGAUAAUAAUCUCAUGUGAAGUAUUGUAGUAAUCUCUUAUUAAGGCUAAUGAAUGAAUACAUGUAAAGCUUUAGUACAGUAUCUGGCACCUAGUAGGUGCUCCUAAAUUAACUAUAGGUAUUGUUAUCAUUAUUAAUACUAUAUUAUGUUAAUUACCUGUCAUCUUGGCAGGCCCACACUAAUGCACAAGAACAUUACAUUGUCUAUACGUUUAUAUCUUCACCAGCAAUAUGCAUUUUAGCUGUUCUAAUUAUCAUAAGACAAUAAUAAAAGUGUGAUAUAGUUUG